UACGUAGGUGGCAAGCGUUGUCCGGAAUUAUUGGGCGUAAAGCGCGCGCAGGCGGUCCUUUAAGUCUGAUGUGAAAGCCCACGGCUCAACCGUGGAGGGUCAUUGGAAACUGGGGGACUUGAGUGCAGAAGAGGAAAGCGGAAUUCCACGUGUAGCGGUGAAAUGCGUAGAGAUCAUGAGGAAGACCAGUGGCGAAGGCGGGUCUCUGGACAGUUCCUGACACUGAGGCACGAAGGCCAGGGGAGCAAACGGG
rnacentral:rRNA from 1 species